GGUGCCUGCUUGUUUUUGCAGAGGAGGUAGACGCGGCUGGGGGCCAAGGUCAAGUUGAAAGUUGCUGUCUAGCCGUCCAG